rnacentral:rRNA from 1 species
UGGGGAAUAUUGCACAAUGGGCGAAAGCCUGAUGCAGCGACGCCGCGUGCGGGAUGAAGGCCUUCGGGUUGUAAACCGCUUUUGAUUGGGAGCAAGCGAGAGUGAGUGUACCUUUCGAAUAAGCACCGGCUAACUACGUGCCAGCAGCCGCGGUAAUACGUAGGGUGCAAGCGUUAUCCGGAAUUAUUGGGCGUAAAGAGCUCGUAGGCGGUUUGUCGCGUCUGGUGUGAAAGUCCAUCGCUUAACGGUGGAUCUGCGCCGGGUACGGGCAGGCUAGAGUGCGACAGGGGAGACUGGAAUUCCCGGUGUAACGGUGGAAUGUGUAGAUAUCGGAAGAACACCAAUGGCGAAGG